CCGGUUGUAUCACGUGCUCGGGCCUGUUUCCGGUUGUGUAUCCUGUUUCCGUUCACCUUGCCGACUCUCUUCACUCGCCAUGUCCGUUCUCCUCCGGGGGCUCGUGGGCCGUGCCGCCCCGCUCCGCCCGCCCUUCACCAUUGCCCGGGCCCGGCUCAACAGCAAGGCGUCCGACAGCGAGAUCGGGCCCGCGGCGUCCCUAUUCGCACUCACCCUGUUUUCGGCUGUGAUUCUGAUUCCGGGGAGCUGGUUUCUAUCUCAUGUCAAUGACUACAAGAAACGGGAAUGAGGAUGAUCCACAGCUAGACUGUGGUAUAUGAGGAACCAUAGCCCUCUCUUCCACACUCCAACCAUUCUGUGAGCCUGGCCCUUGGCCACCGACAUUCCUUUGGCUGUCUCCUUCAAGAUUUAUUUCUUAAUGCGACUUGUGAAGAUUUGUUGUCUUGGAGUGGUCUCUGUUACAAUAAAGUUUAUUUAAAAUGA